UUACUAAAUUACUAAUUUACUAAGUUAUUAUAAAAUAGGACAAUUGACACAAUUUUAAUUUUUAUGUUAGAAUUGCAUGAUAAUAUAACUGAAAGUUGCCGCCGGGAUAGCUCAGUUGGUAGAGCAGAGGACUGAUACAAUCCUCGUGU
rnacentral:tRNA from 1 species